GCAUAUCAAUAAGCGGAGGAAAAGAAACCAACAGGGAUUUACCUCAGUAACGGCGAAGUGAAGCGGUAACAGCUCAAAUUUGAAAGCUAGCUCUUUUAGGGUUCGCAUUGUAAUUUGUAGAAGAUGCUUCGGGUGUGGCCCCGGUCUAAGUUCCUUGGAACAGGACGUCAUAGAGGGUGAGAAUCCCGUAUGUGACUGGGUGCUUUCGCUCAUGUGAAGCUCUUUCGACGAGUCGAGUUGUUUGGGAAUGCAGCUCAAAAUGGGUGGUAAAUUUCAUCUAAAGCUAAAUAUUGGCCAGAGACCGAUAGCGCACAAGUAGAGUGAUCGAAAGAUGAAAAGCACUUUGGAAAGAGAGUUAAACAGUACGUGAAAUUGUUGAAAGGGAAGCGCUUGCAACCAGACUUGCGCGCUGAUGAUCAUCCGGGCUUCUGCCCGGUGCACUCGUCUGCGCUCAGGCCAGCAUCGGUUUCGGUGGUGGGAUAAAGGCCUUGGGAAUGUAGCUCCUCUCGGGGAGUGUUAUAGCCCUCGGUGCAAUGCCGCCUACCGGGACCGAGGACCGCGCUUCGGCUAGGAUGCUGGCGUAAUGGUUGUAAGCGACCCGUCUUGAAACACGGACCAAGGAGUCUAACAUCUAUGCGAGUGUUUGGGUGUCAAACCCAUACGCGUAAUGAAAGUGAACGGAGGUGAGAACCCUUAAGGGUGCAUCAUCGACCGAUCCUGAUGUCUUCGGAUGGAUUUGAGUAAGAGCAUAGCUGUUGGGACCCGAAAGAUGGUGAACUAUGCGUGAAUAGGGUGAAGCCAGAGGAAACUCUGGUGGAGGCUCGCAGCGGUUCUGACGUGCAAAUCGAUCGUCAAAUUUGCGUAUAGGGGCGAAAGACUAAUCGAACCAUCUAGUAGCUGGUCCUGC
rnacentral:rRNA from 1 species